CAUAUUGACCAGUUGACAAGAACACAGUUGAAAACUUUCUGUACAAAUUACGGCAAAAUGAAAAUAGAAGAAGUUAAAAGUACGACUAAAACACAACGUAUAGCUGUACAUAGYCAUAUUAAAGGCCUUGGGCUGGACGAAAAUGGCUUCGCUUUGUCAAUGGCGUCGGGWUUGGUUGGACAAGAGAAUGCACGUGAGAGUGCUGGGGUUAUUGUAGAGAUGAUCAAAAC